CAUCUCUCAAGCUCAGCUUGGUCUUGGGGCUUGCCUGUCACAGGGCAGCCCUUAAAAGCAGUGGCGGCGCCUCCUGGCUUCACGCGUAGUAGCUAUACCUCGCGAUGGUGUCCGGUGGUGUCCUGCCAAAACCCCCCACUAUUUUAUAAU
rnacentral:misc_RNA from 1 species